UCCUGGCUCAGAACGAGCGCGAGCGGCGCGUUUCAGGCAUGCAAGUCGAACGGUACCAGGGGAGCUUGCUCCCGCUGACGAGUGGCGCACGGGUGAGUAACGCGUAGGUAAUCUGUCUUUAGGUACGGGAUAGCUCUACGAAAGUAGGAUUAAUACCGUAUAUAAUGUAUUCAUGAAAGUCUUCGGACGCCUUUAGUUGAGCCUGCGUUAGAUUAGCUUGUUGGUAAGGUAAGAGCUUACCAAGGCGAUGAUCUAUAGCCGAGCUGAGAGGCUGAUCGGCCACAUUGGAACUGAGACACGGUCCAGACUCCUACGGGAGGCAGCAGCUAAGAAUCUUCCGCAAUGGUCGCAAGACUGACGGAGCGACGCCGCGUGAACGAUGAAGGCCCUUCGGGUUGUAAAGUUCUUUUAUAAGAGACGAAUGUUUGAUGCAGGUCAAUCUGACUGUAUCUUAUGAAUAAGGUCCGGCUAACUACGUGCCAGCAGCCGCGGUAAUACGUAGGGACCUAGCGUUGUUCGGAAUUAUUGGGCGUAAAGGGUAUGUAGGCGGUUUAAUAAGUCAGAUGUGAAAUCCUCGGGCUCAACCUGAGGUCUGCGUCUGAUACUGUUAAACUUGAGUUACGGAGAGGAAGACGGAAUUCCCGGUGUAGGGGUGAAAUCUAUAGAUAUCGGGAAGAACACCAGUAGCGAAGGCGGUCUUCUGGGCGUUAACUGACGCUAAUGUACGAAAGGUAGGGUAGCAAACAGGAUUAGAGACCCUGGUAGUCCUACCUGUAAACGUUGUAUACUAGGUGGUGGUUGUAUUGAUCCGAUCACUGCCGCAGCAAACGCAUUAAGUAUACCGCCUGGGGAGUAUGCCGGCAACGGUGAAACUCAAAGGAAUUGACGGGGGCCCGCACAAGCAGUGGAGCAUGUUGUUUAAUUCGAUGAUACGCGAGAAACCUUACCAGGUCUUGACAUAUACUCGAAUACCGUAGAGAUACGGUAGUUCUUCGGAACGGGUAUACAGGUGUUGCAUGGUUGUCGUCAGCUCGUGCCGUGAGGUGUUGGGUUAAGUCCCGCAACGAGCGCAACCCCUAUCCUUUGUUGCUAACAAUUCGGUUGAGCACUCUAAGGAGACUGCCGGUGACAAACCGGAGGAAGGUGGGGACGACGUCAAAUCAUCACGGCCCUUACGACCUGGGCUACAAACGUGCUACAAUGGUCGGUACAAAGAGUUGCGAUACAGCGAUGUUGAGCUAAUCUCAAAAAGCCGUCCUCAGUUCGGAUUGGAGUCUGAAACCCGACUCCAUGAAGCUGGAAUUGCUAGUAAUCGCACAUCAUCAUGGUGCGGUGAAUAUGUUCCCGGGCCUUGUACACACCGCCCGUCACAUCACCCGAAUUGAUUAUACCCGAAGUAUCCGUGCUAACCCUUGUGGAGGCAGGGUCCUAAGGUGUGGUUGGUAAGGGGGAUGAA
rnacentral:rRNA from 1 species